rnacentral:rRNA from 1 species
UACGAAGGGGGCUAGCGUUGCUCGGAAUCACUGGGCGUAAAGGGUGCGUAGGCGGGUCUUUAAGUCAGGGGUGAAAUCCUGGAGCUCAACUCCAGAACUGCCUUUGAUACUGAGGAUCUUGAGUCCGGGAGAGGUGAGCGGAACUGCGAGUGUAGAGGUGAAAUUCGUAGAUAUUCGGAAGAACACCAGUGGCGAAGGCGGCUCACUGGUCCGGUACUGACGCUGAGGUGCGAAAGCGUGGGGAGCAAACAGG